rnacentral:tRNA from 1 species
GGGGAUAUAGCUCAGUGGAAGAGCACUUGCCUAGCAUGCACAAAGCCCCGGGGUUCCAUCUCCAGUACCCCCA